rnacentral:rRNA from 1 species
CCUGAACGCUGGCGGCGUGGCUAAGACAUGCAAGUCGAACGGACGUAGCAAUACGUCAGUGGCGGACGGGUGAGUAAUGAAUCGCUAACGUACCCCGGAGCCUGGGAUAGCUGCCCGAAAGGGCAGGUAAUACCAGAUGAGACCACAACACCGCAUGGUGAUGUGCUCAAAGCAGCAAUGCACUCUGGGAGCGGGCGAUUUCGUAUCAGCUAGUUGGUGAGGUAACGGCUCACCAAGGCGACGACGCGUAACCGGACUGAGAGGUUGGCCGGUCACAUUGGGACUGAGACACUGCCCAGACUCCGUACGGGGGCUGCAGUAACGAAUCUUCCGCAAUGCACGAAAGUGUGACGGAGCGACGCCGCGUGUGGGACGAAG